rnacentral:rRNA from 1 species
UACGUAGGGGGCAAGCGUUGUCCGGAAUUAUUGGGCGUAAAGAGCGUGUAGGCGGUCCGGUAAGUCGGCUGUGAAAGUCCAGGGCUCAACCCUGGGAUGCCGGUCGAUACUGCCGGACUAGAGUUCGGAAGAGGCGGGUGGAAUUCCCGGUGUAGCGGUGAAAUGCGCAGAUAUCGGGAGGAACACCUAUGGCGAAGGCAGCUCGCUGGGACGUUACUGACGCUGAGACGCGAAAGCGUGGGGAGCAAACAGG